rnacentral:lncRNA from 1 species
UCGCAACUGGAUCGGAUAACACAAAUGUCACGCCUCAUACACGUAUAUGUGAAAACGGCGUAUUGACACGAUCCGAUCCGAAAACAUAAUCAAAUUAUAACAUAAAAUAGAAAUAUAUAUAUAUUUAACCAAACCGCAUGUAUCUGGAAUACAUAACACAGUCACACAUAUGAACAUGUAUUUGAAACACAGUAACAAAUAUAUCAACAAAAUAGAUAAAGUAUAUAUCAUAUAUAAACUAUUACCAAACUGUGUGUACGAUAGUAUAGAUCAGCCACUCUCAGUUUCUCUUUUUUGUUCUGUCUUUUUGGCCUCCCUCUAUCAGUCAUGCUAGUAAAUAUAUAUAGGAACAAAUUAGGUUAAUGAUAAUGGGCCUAAGUUUAUUUUGAAACCCAAUAUUAAAUUAAAAACUGAAUAAAGUU